ensembl:lncRNA
GUGCUACUGCUGUAGCCACUUCCUGGUUACUUUAUCUAGCUAGCAAUUAUUUUAUGUGAAAGGGGAUGAGGUUUUCUGAAGAGGAAAAUCUUCCCAUUGAAACUGGAUGAGAAAUUCAGACAAAAUGAGCUGGAUGCCCUUCAAGAUUGGACAACCAAAAAAGCAGAUUGUUUCCAAAACGGUUGAAAGAGACUUUGAAUGAGAAUAUAACAAGCUCCAAAAUGCAGCAAAAACCCUCAUUGCAGAUGAACCCGGAGUUGACAGACUAGAAAACAUAACGAGUGCUAUUUUAAGUGUAAGUUUUCCAUUGAUUUUUAGAGGUGAACACACAUGCCUGUUCUCAACAUUUUACCUUGAAAUAAUUAUUUUCAUGGGAAAUACCAUGUUAGAAUCUUUC